GGCUUAGAGUUUGAUCAUGGCUCAGGAUGAACGCUAGCUACAGGCUUAACACAUGCAAGUCGAGGGGCAGCAUGGUCUUAGCUUGCUAAGGCCGAUGGCGACCGGCGCACGGGUGAGUAACACGUAUCCAACCUGCCGUCUACUCUUGGACAGCCUUCUGAAAGGAAGAUUAAUACAAGAUGGCAUCAUGAGUCCGCAUGUUCACAUGAUUAAAGGUAUUCCGGUAGACGAUGGGGAUGCGUUCCAUUAGAUAGUAGGCGGGGUAACGGCCCACCUAGUCUUCGAUGGAUAGGGGUUCUGAGAGGAAGGUCCCCCACAUUGGAACUGAGACACGGUCCAAACUCCUACGGGAGGCAGCAGUGAGGAAUAUUGGUCAAUGGGCGAGAGCCUGAACCAGCCAAGUAGCGUGAAGGAUGACUGCCCUAUGGGUUGUAAACUUCUUUUAUAAAGGAAUAAAGUCGGGUAUGUGUACCCGUUUGCAUGUACUUUAUGAAUAAGGAUCGGCUAACUCCGUGCCAGCAGCCGCGGUAAUACGGAGGAUCCGAGCGUUAUCCGGAUUUAUUGGGUUUAAAGGGAGCGUAGAUGGAUGUUUAAGUCAGUUGUGAAAGUUUGCGGCUCAACCGUAAAAUUGCAGUUGAUACUGGAUAUCUUGAGUGCAGUUGAGGCAGGCGGAAUUCGUGGUGUAGCGGUGAAAUGCUUAGAUAUCACGAAGAACUCCGAUUGCGAAGGCAGCCUGCUAAGCUGCAACUGACAUUGAGGCUCGAAAGUGUGGGUAUCAAACAGGAUUAGAUACCCUGGUAGUCCACACGGUAAUCGAUGAAUACUCGCUGUUUGCGAUAUACGGCAAGCGGCCAAGCGAAAGCGUUAAGUAUU
rnacentral:rRNA from 1 species